rnacentral:rRNA from 1 species
CACGUAGGGGGCAAGCGUUGUCCGGAUUUAUUGGGCGUAAAGAGCUCGUAGGUGGUUCGGUAAGUCGGGUGUUAAACCCCCAGGCUCAACCUGGGGACGCCACUCGAUACUGCUGUGACUAGAGUCCGGUAGGGGAGCGUGGAAUUCCUGGUGUAGCGGUGAAAUGCGCAGAUAUCAGGAGGAACACCAGCGGCGAAGGCGGCGCUCUGGGCCGGUACUGACACUGAGGAGCGAAAGCCAGGGGAGCAAACGGG